rnacentral:rRNA from 1 species
GAUCCUGCUCAGGACGAACGCUGGCGGCGCGCCUAACACAUGCAAGUCGAACGGUGAAGAGGAGCUUGCUCCUCGGAUCAGUGGCGGACGGGUGAGUAACACGUGAGCAACCUGGCUCUAAGAGGGGGACAACAGUUGGAAACGACUGCUAAUACCGCAUGACGUAUCGGGAUGGCAUCUUCCUGAUACCAAAGAUUUUAUCGCUUAGAGAUGGGCUCGCGUCUGAUUAGA